rnacentral:lncRNA from 10 species
CAACGCUUCCACAGAGUCCACCAUCACUCAGAAUUAUUUUCUGAAAUUUGGCCUCUAUUCCUUACUCUGGAGGAAAGGCAGUACGGGCACCUGGCUUCCAAUCAAGCCCGACGCACAGGACUGGGUAAGCCACACAAAAGGAGAGGGACCCUGCAUUGCUCAUCACAGCUGGAGCUGCGGAAAAUCAUUUCUAGGGCUCCUCAACUCUCCGGAACAAGCCAGAGGAAGCCUCAUCAGAGGUUCCAUUCAUCUGACUUCUUACUUUUAAACUUUAAAUCACAUAUUUAUGUGCCUCAAGUUGCCCAUGAACCACAGCAUGUCAAACAGUUCGGGGUUGAUGGAAGAGGUACAUUUUCUCGUCCUGGGACUUUCAGAAAUACAAUUUCAUUGCCAGUCUCUCUCCCUUCCAAUUUCUCCCGUAUGCUGCCACGAGAUGAAUAUUCCUAACAUCCUGCUUUCAAUACAUUAUUCACCUGUUCAAGGACCUUCCAAGGCCACUUCUUGAUCCCUUAAGGCUGGGAUACUCAGAUUGGCAUUCAAGGCCUUCCAUAAAUGUGGCCUCAGCGCCCACAACCUCCUCACAUUCACUCUCCCAGACUGCCACACCACACGUGUCACAGGCCACAAAUACAGGGUGGUGAGUGCCUGUCAUAUAUGCCCUCCCCGAUCCCAGCAUCUCUCUUCCUGGUAACCAAACACAGUGCUUUCUUUUAGGGAAACCACUCCACCUCAACUCUUUCUCCAUAUGGUGUGGGUGUCUCCAGACUUGUCCCCGAGAUUGCUGCAGUUCAGGGGUUGGCAAACUAAGGUCCGAGGGCAAAGCAAAAACAACAAACCACCAAUGAACAAAAAAACAAAGGCCCCUGGCUUAUUUUUUGUGAGGCCCUUGAGCUAAUAACUUUUCCGUUUUUU